GGCGAAUUCGAAAGAACAGAGGAUUAGCUGAUUGCAGAGUACCAAUUACAUCUUGUAAUUGGAAAAAUGUUCACAAGAUGCAGGUUGUCCCUUAAGCGAAUGAUGGCUUUACUGGAGACACGGAAGGUCUUGUGGCCAGUGUGUCAGCAUUAUACUUUCAAACACUCAAUGAGCGUUUGCACUUGAUUUGGGGAUUUAAGGCGCAGGGCUGGCUGGACAGGAAAAGAAUGUUGCGACCAUCAUUUGUGAAAAUUUUGGCACCUUGAGUUCCUUGCAGCUCAAUAACGAUAUAAUAGAAUUUUUUGCAAGAAACAUGGUGAAUGAGAACCUGGGGGCAAUCUGCAAUGCAUUUGUGGUUCAUGCUGACAGCAACGAGUAUGGCUGUAUGGGGCUGUGGAUGAGAACUGCAUCACACUUGCUGUUGAUUUUCCCAAGACUGGGCAUGGGAUCAAAAGUGCCCUUAUGAUUGGCAGCUGAAUGGUGGUGUGCUAGAACAGUAUAAAGUGAAGAGGGAAGAAGAGAUUGUAACUGGGCACAUCUGCUCCAUGCCCAAGUACAACUCUAGGAAGUACGGGAAGCUCAAGGAGAAGCUCAAGCAUUCCUACAGUGCUCUGUAGAAAGAGUUCAGGCAAAAGUACAUCCCCUAACAACAUUUUAAAUUGGUAGUACUUUUCUAGCCAUUUGAUGCAACCUGAAUUUCAUAAUUUUAGAAUCUACAAUUUUUUUUUGAAAUUGUUGGGAAUCCUUAUUUGUUCCGGGCGUUCUUUUUUCCCCGUGAAAAGUAGAUUCUAGACAAUGGUAUUAAUGGCGCAACACAAACAAGAAGGAAAAAAACGCUGCUAAAAAAUUAGCCGUGUUUGUUGCCUGAUUGGUGAGUUUUAAGUUUUUUGCUUAAUUGGUG